UAAGGAAUAUUGGUCAAUGGACGCAAGUCUGAACCAGCCAUGCCGCGUGAAGGAUUAAGGUCCUCUGGAUUGUAAACUUCUUUUAUCUGGGACGAAAAAAGGCGAUUCUUCGUCACUUGACGGUACCAGAUGAAUAAGCACCGGCUAACUCCGUGCCAGCAGCCGCGGUAAUACGGAGGGUGCAAGCGUUAUCCGGAUUCACUGGGUUUAAAGGGUGCGUAGGCGGGCAGGUAAAGUCAGUGGUGAAAUCCUAGGAAGCUUAACUCUAGAACUGCCAUUGAUACUAUCUGUCUUGAAUAUUGUGGAGGUAAGCGGAAUAUGUCAUGUAGCGGUGAAAUGCUUAGAUAUGACAUCAGAACACCUAUUGCGAAGGCAGCUUACUACGCAUAUAUUGACGCUGAGGCACGAAAGCGUGGGGAUCAAACAGGAUUAGAUACCCUGGUAGUCCACGCCCUAAACGAUGAUUACUCGACAUUUGUGAUACACUAUAAGUGUCUGAGCGAAAGCAUUAAGUAAUCCACCUGGGAAGUACGACCGCAAGGUUGAAACUUAAAGGAAUUGAC
rnacentral:rRNA from 1 species